AUUUUAUCCAGAGAGGUGGAGGGAUUUGGCCCUACGAAACCUCGGCAACAGAUCAUGUAUUGAUACUGUGCCAAUUCCAACAAGCAUUCCAUUUGCUUGGUAGAUAAGGU
rnacentral:ncRNA from 2 species